rnacentral:rRNA from 1 species
CCUACGGGAGGCUGCAGUGAGGAAUAUUGGUCAAUGGACGAGAGUCUGAACCAGCCAAGUAGCGUGAAGGAUGACUGCCCUAUGGGUUGUAAACUUCUUUUAUAUAGGAAUAAAACAGGGUAUGCAUGCCUUCUUGUAUGUACCAUAUGAAUAAGGAUCGGCUAACUCCGUGCCAGCAGCCGCGGUAAUACGGAGGAUCCGAGCGUUAUCCGGAUUUAUUGGGUUUAAAGGGAGCGUAGGUGGGUUGUUAAGUCAGUUGUGAAAGUUUGCGGCUCAACCGUAAAAUUGCAAUUGAUACUGGCAGUCUUGAGUACAGUAGAGGUAGGCGGAAUUCGUGGUGUAGCGGUGAAAUGCUUAGAUAUCACGAAGAACUCCGAUUGCGAAGGCAGCUCACUGAACUGCAACUGACACUGAUGCUCGAAAGUGUGGGUAUCAAACAGGAUUAGAUACCCUAGUAGUC